UAUUCAAAACCAUGAGCAACUCAAAGCAGUUCACAGCUCUCGUGAUGAAUAGAUAUUCUUUGUUAUUCCAUUGUAGGAAUAUCAGACCAACCCUUGCUAAUUCAAACCUCUCAGAGUGCUGCCCAAGAAGCACAAGGUCCCUGCUUUUGAUCUGAAUAAAUGAGUUUCAGUGAUAGCUUUCCUAUCUUUGGAGGAAGAUCUGCCACAGUGGCG
rnacentral:lncRNA from 1 species